CUACGGGUCGCAGCAGUGAGGAAUAUUGCACAAUGGGGGGAACCCUGAUGCAGCAACGCCGCGUGGAGGAUGACGCAUUUCGGUGUGUAAACUCCUUUUAUAUGUCAAGAAAAUGACGGUAGCAUAUGAAUAAGCACCGGCUAACUCCGUGCCAGCAGCCGCGGUAAUACGGAGGGUGCAAGCGUUACUCGGAAUCACUGGGCGUAAAGGACGCGUAGGCGGGUUGGAAAGUCAGGUGUGAAAUCCUACAGCUUAACUGUAGAACUGCACUUGAAACUUCUAAUCUAGAGUAGGGGAGGGGGAGAUGGAAUUAGUGGUGUAGGGGUACAAUCCGUAGAUAUCACUAGGAAUACCUAAAGCGAAGGCGAUCUCCUGGAACAUUACUGACGCUAAGGCGUGAAAGCGUGGGGAGCAAACAGGAUUAGAUACCCCCGUAGUC
rnacentral:rRNA from 1 species